rnacentral:rRNA from 1 species
GAUGAACGCUGGCGGCGUGCCUAAUACAUGCAAGUCGAGCGAACGGACGAGACGCUUGCUUCUCUGAUGUUAGCGGCGGACGGGUGAGUAACACGUGGAUAACCUCCCUAUAAGACUGGGAUAACUUCGGGAAACCGGAGCUUAUCCCGGAUAAUAUUUUGAACCGCAUGGUUCAAAAGUGAAAGACGGUCUUGCUGUCACUUAUAGAUGGAUCUGGGCUGCAUUAGCUAGUUGGUAAGGUAACGGCUUACCAAGGCAACGAUGCAUAGCCGACCUGAGAGGGUGAUCGGCCACACUGGAACUGAGACACGGUCCAGACUCCUAAGGGAGGCAGCAGUAGGGAAUCUUACGCAAUGGGCGGAAGCCUGACGGAGCAACGCCGCGUGAGUGAUGAAGGUCUUCGGAUCGUAAAACUCUGUCAUGAGGGAAGAACAGAUGUGUAAGGAACUGUGCACAGCUUGACGGUACCUAAUCAGAAAGCCACGGCUAACUACGUG